rnacentral:rRNA from 1 species
UGGGGAAUAUUGCACAAUGGGGGAAACCCUGAUGCAGCAACGCCGCGUGAAGGAAGACGGUUUUCGGAUUGUAAACUUCUGUUCUUAACGAAGAAUAAUGACGGUAGUUAAGGAGCAAGCCACGGCUAACUACGUGCCAGCAGCCGCGGUAAUACGUAGGUGGCAAGCGUUGUCCGGAAUUACUGGGUGUAAAGGGAGCGUAGGCGGGAAGGCAAGUCAGCUGUGAAAACUACGGGCUUAACCUGUAGACUGCAGUUGAAACUGUUUUUCUUGAGUGAAGUAGAGGUUGGCGGAAUUCCGAGUGUAGCGGUGAAAUGCGUAGAUAUUCGGAGGAACACCGGUGGCGAAGGCGGCCAACUGG